UCACGAGGAAAGUCUAAAACAUGUAAUCAGAAUUAGUGUUAAAGAACCAUAUAUUUAAAAAAGGAGAAUGAAUUCUUUUGACUCUCUGAGACUCUCUUUUGACGCAAUUUAAAAUGAAAAUAAAGCUCAAGUUGCAUACAAUAACAGGGUGAAUAAUUAAAUAAUACAUUUAUAUUAAAAACAAUUUGUUUUCGUCGGAUUGGGAAAAGAAUGAGCAACUUUACAAAAAAUAUUAGACUGAUCAAUAACGAGUACGUUCAACUUAUGCAUAUUAGUUUGAGCAAGAGAUGUGGCAAUUUCUACCCCAUCUAACCCUAAAUAAUCAAGGGCACCCAUCGGAGUAUGACGCCUAGAGGCACCUGCUUAUUAUACCAACAAUUUUCUGUUACAAACAAAAACCGACAAAAGUAUGCAUCGUAACGGAAACGCAAGGUUGACGGAAGCGGAGUCGCGAUACAGCGAUCGGAAUUAUAGAAGGAUUCCCGGACGCGCGACACGUGUGACUUCGGAUUAGAAAAGAUCAAGACAAUGUCGGUGGAUUUCAUUCCGUGCAUAAAUGAUGGAGUCGAGAUUGGAUGAUUUGUAUUGUACUAGGAUAUUAAUUGCGGAGCACGUGCGAGUUCUAACGACUUGGAAGGCAUAAAGAGGUCGAAAAAGUUGGGAUUAAGAUUGAGAUCUGUGAUUGAUUUUAUUUGGGUAUGCUAGUUUCAAUUUUACUUUGACAUUUUCUAUUUUAUUUUUUUACCAUUAUGACCUCAAAUUUGACAUUCAUU